rnacentral:rRNA from 1 species
AAAGAAACCAACCGGGAUUGCCUCAGUAACGGCGAGUGAAGCGGCAAGAGCUCAAAUUUGAAAGCUGGCCCCUCCGGGGUCCGCAUUGUAAUUUGCAGAGGAUGCUUCGGGUGCAGCCCCCGUCUAAGUGCCCUGGAAUGGGCCGUCAGAGAGGGUGAGAAUCCCGUCUGGGAUGGGGUGCCUGCGCCCGUGUGAAGCUCCUUCGACGAGUCGAGUUGUUUGGGAAUGCAGCUCUAAAUGGGUGGUAAAUUUCAUCUAAAGCUAAAUAUUGGCCGGAGACCGAUAGCGCACAAGUAGAGUGAUCGAAAGAUGAAAAGCACUUUGAAAAGAGAGUUAAACAGCACGUGAAAUUGUUGAAAGGGAAGCGCUUGCGACCAGACUCGCCCCCGGGGUUCAGCCGGCAUUCGUGCCGGUGUACUUCCCCGGGGGCGGGCCAGCGUCGGUUUGGGCGGCCGGUCAAAGGCCUCCGGAAUGUAGCGCCCUUCGGGGCGCCUUAUAGCCGGGGGUGCAAUGCGGCCAGCCUGGACCGAGGAACGCGCUUCGGCUCGGACGCUGGCAUAAUGGUCGUAAACGAC